rnacentral:rRNA from 1 species
UACGUAGGGUGCGAGCGUUGUCCGGAAUUACUGGGCGUAAAGAGCUCGUAGGUGGUUUGUCGCGUUGUUCGUGAAAACUCACAGCUUAACUGUGGGCGUGCGGGCGAUACGGGCAGACUGGAGUACUGCAGGGGAGACUGGAAUUCCUGGUGUAGCGGUGGAAUGCGUAGAGAGUCGAAGAACACCGGUGGCGAAGGCGGUUAGCUGGGCAGUUGCUGACACUGAGGCGCGACAGCGUGGGGAGCAAACAGG